rnacentral:rRNA from 1 species
GGUAACACCUGGAAACAGAAUGCUAAUACCGGAUAACAACCACUAGACGCAUGUCUAGAGUUUGAAAGUAAUGGGUUCUGCUAUCACUCUUGGAUGGACCCUGCGGUGCAUUAGCUAGUUGGUAAGGUAACGGCUUACCAAGGCAAUGAUGCAUAGCCGAGUUGAGAGACUGAUCGGCCACAUUGGGACUGAGACACGGCCCAAACUCCUACGGGAGGCAGCAGUAGGGAAUCUUCCACAAUGGACGAAAAGUCUGAUGGAGCAACGCCGCGUGAGUGAAGAAGGGUUUUCGGCUCGUAAAAGCUCUGUUGGUAGUGAAGAAAGAUAGAGGUAGUAACUGGCCUUUAUUUGACGGUAAUUACUUAGAAAGUCACGGCUAACUACGUGCC